GAACAAUUAAACAUAGCCUUGAAAGACAUAGAAUAAGGGAGUAAAUAAGUGAUAAAGCAGGUGCGCAGAAAAGAAGCUGAAGACUGAAAUAACUUGGAACACAGAUAUGAGACCGAAGACAGAAGACGUGUGUCUUGCUCAACAGCACCAAUCAGAAGCUUAGCCGUGGCGUGUGAACAGAAAGUAUUAACUAAUCAUGGAACAAGCCCGAGCGCGUGGACAGCUAAUGAAUCUAUAUAAGCACAAACUUGUAAACAAUAAAGGUCUUUGGUUUUACCCGCA